rnacentral:rRNA from 1 species
GUCCACGCCCUAAACGAUGUCUACUAGUUGUUGGUGGAGUAAAAUCCAUGAGUAACGCAGCUAACGCGUGAAGUAGACCGCCUGGGGAGUACGGUCGCAAGAUUAAAACUCAAAUGAAUUGACGGGGGCCCGCACAAGCGGUGGAUUAUGUGGAUUAAUUCGAUGCAACGCGAAAAACCUUACCUGGCCUUGACAUGUACCGAAUUUACCAGAGAUGGUUUAGUGCUCGAAAGAGAACGGUAACACAGGUGCUGCAUGGCUGUCGU